AUGGAGUGAUCCUGUGGGGUGAUUGUAAGCCUCUUGAGUCUCCACACCUUCAUGACUUCAACACAGUUCCCAAGUAAUACAGUCAGGAAGAGAAACUAUGGAAUGCAAUGAAAUUACUUCUUGGGAGGCAAGUGGAAGAAGAUGGGGGUUCUAGUAAUGAUUCCAAGUUGUUACCAUGUCAUGUCUGAUGCAUAUAUGAAGCUAAGCACCUUGGAAAAUGCUGUACAAAUCCUCUUUGGAAUUCAGUGCUGAAGCUCUCUGGAGAAAAUUGCCUACACUAAAAUCAGAGGUGAAAAGCAUCCAAAUCACACAGACUGAGAGAGGAAAUAUCACAUAAGGAAAACAGAAGAAAAAGCACCUAAAUAAAAUCAUUCUUGAAAAGUAAAGCUACUGGAAAACAAAGAAGGAGAUCAUAGAGUGCAAUCUCAAGGUUUUCAUUAAAAGCAAAUUAGAGAUCAUCAAAGCAUUUUUAGGAAUCAGAGAAUAUCUGUGUUAGUAGUAGUGUUAAAGCAUUAAAGAUUGAAAUUAUUUACAAUUAUGGGCAUUUAUAAUACUCUUCUUGUAUGUAACACUUUUUAGAAACAAUGAAACUGAUUUUAGGUGCAUUAACCUGAGCAUCUGGAAUGUCCUUGCAACACCUCCUGAAUUCAGUGGGGGGUUUCUGAGCUUCCUCAAAUGUUACUUCAGCCUUGAAAAGAAAAUCCUGACAACAGCAGAAUAUUUUAUAUCUAAAGAUUGUUGAAUCAAGAACAGAAGACAGGCGUCACAGUGUUUUGGCUUAAGUGUAGAAAUUCACUUUUCUCAAGAUCAAGUCUGGCAAGGCAGCUGUAAAACUCUGUUGCUUCUAACAAACUCCCCUGAUCUCUCCAAUGAAAAGUUCUUAUUUUUUCAACAUUUUCUUGAUGUGUACUUUAUGCUAAGAUUCUGCUGAUAAAAUGGUUGCAUAACAGAUGCAGAUUUGCUCAUGGUACACUGGAAGGGAUGAAGUGAUAACACACUGGUUCUCACAAAGAUUUUGCACCCAAAUGAUGUUUGUCACUUUUUAUUCCAUUUCCUUCAUCCCACAGUCCUGCCUAGGUGAUGGAUUGGACUCAACUCCUGCUCCAAUGAUGUGUGUCAUGGCUCUAGCUGCAGUGCAGAACUGA
rnacentral:lncRNA from 1 species